CCAAAGACGCCCGCCGCUGCUCUCGCCUCUGCAAACAGACAUUCUUAGCACAGCUUAGGCAUGUGCUAGCUAGCUAGCUUUUCUGCUGGACCAGCUAGCAGAUCGAGGUGUGAAAUUAAAGGUGAUCAUCAGGUUAUCAGCAGCACAGGGUGCGUGCGGUGGGGGUGAAGCGCAGCAGGGUGGCGGUGAUCGUGGUCGAUCCCUCUCCAUGGCGGCGGCGACGGCAGCGGUGGUUGAGAGGCUGGUGUUCGCGUUGAACGGGCGGCGGUACGAGGUGGCCGCCGCCGACGUGGACCCGUCGACGAGGCUGGUGGAGUUCAUCCGGACGCGGACGCCGUUCAAGGGCACCAAGCUCGGCUGCGGCGAAGGUGGUUGUGGGGCUUGUGUUGUCCUUAUAGCAAAGUAUAACCCCAAGACGGAUGAAGUGACUGAAUUUAACGCAAGUUCAUGCCUGACACUUCUUUACAGUAUAAAUUUCUGUUCAGUUAUCACGACUGAGGGUCUGGGGAAUACUCAGGAUGGCUUUCAUGCUGUUCAGAAAAGGAUGUCUGGGUUUCAUGCCUCUCAGUGUGGCUUCUGCACUCCUGGAAUGUGCAUGUCUAUUUUCGCCUCCCUUAUCAAUGCUGACAAAUCCAAGAGGCCCGAACCACCAAAAGGGUUCUCAAAACUAAAAGUAUCAGAAGCAGAAAAAGCCUUCUCAGGGAACAUGUGUAGAUGCACUGGUUAUCGUCCAAUUGUUGAUGCCUGCAGAAGUUUUGCAUCAGAUGUUGACUUGGAGGAUUUGGGCCUUAAUAUAUUCUGGAAGAGAAGCGAUAAGAAUCCAGACGUUAGUGAAUUGCCAAGUUACACUCUUGGUGGUGGAGUCUGCACUUUCCCAGACUUCCUAAAAUCUGAGAUAAAAUCUUCUCUUAACCAUCUGAAUGAUGUUUAUAUUUCAGCAUCCAGGGAGGGUUGGUAUCAUCCGAGAAGUAUCAAAGAGUAUUAUGAGCUAAUAAAUUCUUGUUUAUAUAGUGACUCUGUCAAAGUGGUUGUUGGGCAUACUAGUAGUGGUGUACCCGGAUACAAGGAUCAAGACCUCUACAAUAAGUAUAUUGACAUAAGUGGCAUUCCCGAACUUUCAAAUAUUGUGAAAAAAGAGUCAGGCUUUGAAAUUGGAGCUGCUACAACAAUUUCUAGGACCAUUGAGAUACUUAAGCAAGAAUGUGAAUCUAUAUCCUCUCCAAAUGGCUGUGUAGUUUUCAGAAAACUUGCUGACCACAUGAGCAAAGUUGCCAACCCGUUUGUCCGCAACACAGCUAGUAUUGGAGGAAACAUAAUUUUGGCACAAAAAUACCCAUUUCCCUCAGACAUUGCAACCAUACUUCUCGGUGCUGGCGCAACUGUUUGUCUUCAGGUUGUUACAGAACGAAGGCAAAUUACUUUGGAAGAGUUCCUAGAGCAGCCUCCUUUGGAUCCUACUACUUUACUCCUGAGCAUAUUUAUUCCACAUUGGAUUUCAGAUUAUCAAGCAGAAACAAGCUUGUUAUUUGAAACUUACCGAGCAGCACCUCGUCCUCUUGGCAAUGCUGUUUCAUAUGUAAAUUGUGCAUUCUUGGGGCUUUCUUCUGUGGAUGAACAAUCAGAUACUCUUGUAUUGAGUAAUCUGCGCUUGGCUUUUGGUGCAUAUGGGACAGAACAUGCUAUAAGAGCCAAGAUGGUGGAGAAAUUCCUAACUGGUAAAUCACUUACUGCAUUGGUUGUACUAGGAGCAGUUCGGUUACUUAGAGAAACGAUUGUACCAAUGGAGGGAACAUCACAUCCUGAAUAUAGAGUCAGUGCAGCUGUUGGGUUCCUCUUUAGUUUCCUAUCUCCGCUUGCCAAAGGCAUCCCAGAGCCUGGAAAAGCUCUGACCAGUGGCUGGUCUGAUUCAGCAGAUACAGAUGAUGUACGUAACCUGCCGUUGUCAUCACGUCGAGAAACAAUUUCCAACGGCGAUUAUAAACCGGUUGGUGAGCCAAUUAAGAAGUAUGCCGUUGAACUUCAAGCUUCUGGGGAGGCAGUUUAUGUGGAUGAUAUUCCUGCUCCAAAGAAUUGCCUCUAUGGGGAAUUUAUUUACAGCACACAACCUCUUGCUUAUGUCAAGAAUAUUAAGUUCAAAUCUUCUUUAGCAUCAACUAAGAUCAUCAAUGUUGUUACUGCGAAGGAUAUUCCACGUGGAGGAGAAAAUAUUGGAUCUUCCUUCGUGUUUGGGGAUGAGCCAUUGUUUGGGGAUCCAAUUGCUGAGUAUGCUGGACAAGCUCUAGGCAUUGUGAUUGCAGAAACACAGAGGUAUGCUGACAUGGCAGCUAAGCAGGUUAUUAUUGAAUAUGACACAAAAGAUUUGAGUCCACCGGUCUUAACUGUGGAACAAGCUGUGGAAAACAGUAGCUACUUCAGUAUUCCCCAAGAAUAUUCUCCUAAAGAAGUUGGUGAUUUCUCGAGGGGCAUGGCAGAAGCUGAUCACAAGAUCCCAGCAGCAGAAGUAAAACUGGCCUCUGAGUACUACUUCUACAUGGAAACACAAACAGCACUUGCAAUUCCAGAUGAGGAUAAUACCUUGGUAGUCUACAGUUCGUCGCAGUAUCCUGAGUUUGCGCAACGUGUCAUAGCAAGGUGCCUGGGCAUUCCAUUCAGUAAUGUGCGUGUCAUUACAAGAAGGGUUGGAGGAGGCUUUGGAGGAAAGGCAUUCAGAUCAUUCCAAGUCGCAACGGCAGCUGCACUUUGUGCAUACAAGCUACGACGUCCUGUCCGAAUGUACCUUAAUCGCAACACUGAUAUGGUAAUGGUUGGUGGUAGGCACCCAGUGAAAGCUUGUUAUUCUGUUGGAUUCAAAUCUGAUGGGAAAAUUACAGCCUUGCAUCUAGAUUUAUUAAUUAACGCUGGGAUAUCUCCAGAUGCAAGCCCCAUUAUACCAGGCACUAUUAUAUCUAGUGUCAAGAAAUACAACUGGGGUGCUCUGUCAUUUGACAUCAAACUCUGCAAAACAAAUAAUACAUCUAAAUCUGUUAUGCGUGCUCCGGGAGACACACAAGGCUCUCUAAUUGCUGAUGCUAUAAUUGAACAUGUCGCGUCCGUGCUUUCAGUUGAUGCUAACAGCGUGAGGGAAAAGAAUUUUCACACCUAUGAUACUCUUCAGCUGUUCUACCCAGACAAUGCAGGCGAAGCUUCUGAGUACACAUUACAUUCAAUUUUUGAUAGAUUGGCAUCAACUUCAAGCUACCUUGAUCGAGCUGAAUCCAUAAAGCAGUUUAACAGUAGCAACAAGUGGUGGAAACGCGGCAUCUCUUGUGUGCCCCUCAUUUUCAGAGCUGAACAGAAGCCAGCUCCAGCACGGGUUUCUGUGCUCAAUGAUGGCUCCAUAGUGGUGGAGGUUGGAGGAAUCGAAAUCGGGCAAGGACUGUGGACUAAAGUACAACAGAUGACGGCCUUUGCUCUAGGACAAUUGUGGGAAAAUGGGUAUGAAGAUCUUCUUGAGAGAGUGCGUGUUAUACAGGCUGACACUUUGAACUUAAUACAAGGUGGACUUACUGCUGGUAGCACUGGAUCUGAAGCUAGUUGCGCCGCAACCCUGCAGGCGUGCAAUAUGCUGAUUGGCAGAUUAAAGCCAGUCUUGGAUAGGCUGCAGCAGCAAUCUGAAAAUGUCUCAUGGGAUACUUUGAUUUCUCAGGCUUCCAAAGAAAAUGUUUAUUUAUCUGCGAGUGCAUACUGGGUACCUGAUCAAGAUUCUUACAGGUACCUGAACUAUGGAGCUGGUAUAAGUGAGGUGGUAUUCUUUCUGUUCAUUCUGAAAAAGUGCAGGUGGAGAUUGAUCUUCUUACAGGAGCAAUUACUAUAUUAAGGGGUGAUCUUGUGUAUGACUGUGGAAAGAGCAUGAACCCUGCUGUGGACUUAGGCCAGAUUGAAGGUUCCUUUAUACAGGGAAUUGGCUUCUUCGUAUAUGAAGAAUAUGUUACGAACAGUGAUGGCUUGAUGAUUAGCAACAGCACAUGGGACUACAAGAUCCCAAGCGUCGACAUAAUCCCAAAGCAGUUUAAUGCUGAGGUUCUGAACACUGGAUACCAUAAGAAUCGCGUGCUUUCUUCAAAAGCUUGUGGUGAACCUGCUUUGAUUGCUGCCUCAUCCGUUCAUUGUGCACUGAGAGAAGCUAUUAGAGCAGCAAGAAAGGAGUUUGCAAACAGCACUGGAUCUGGAAGCUCACCUCUGGAAUUCCAGAUGGAUGUCCCUGCGCCAAUGACACUGGUGAAAGAACUAUGUGGUUUUGACAUCGUGGAGAAGUACUUAGAAAGUGUAUCUGCCUGUGAACGUGCAGCUGGGGCGUAAUCUACGCUCCUGUUAUUACACGUAUAAAGGAGUCGUCUCUUCCUAUCUUAUGUUACAAUGAAGAGGGGGUGGUCAAGUCUUUCAAAAAAAAAAAGAAGAGGGGUGGUCAAAUUGGCACGAAUAUUCGAAUGCUUUGAACAAUGUACAAGGUUGUCCGCCUGUGCCUCCAUACUAUCUGGAAUUCAAACACCUAUUUUCGUGUGUCCUUAUUAAAGCUACAGGAAGUGGUUGCAUUUAUAUUUAUGUAAUUUAAUUGUUUUGAAGUUCGAGUGCUGAUA